rnacentral:tRNA from 1 species
GCCGUCGUAGCUCAGUGGUAGAGCACGUCCUUGGUAAGGACGAGGCCAUGGGUUCAAUCCCCAUCGACGGCUCCA